UGGAACGAAAUGAGGGUGAGUAAUUCAUGACAGAAAUUUCAAUUUUUGGGUGAACUAACCCUUUAAACCUUCAGAAUUGACCAUAAUUUUACUGUUUAACCUGUGCUGGAGUAUCAGAGGUCAGGAGCACUGAACUGGAAUCGGCUUUGAGAACCAGGAGCAGCAUAGGAUGAAAAGGAAUCGGAUCCCAGAUGAGUCCUUCUGUUUUUGAGCUGCAUUAUGAACGCCGGUCCAUAUGGCAGGGAACCGACUAAUAUUUUUGCAGAGGAGGCUGCAGUGAGUGGGCUGUGCUGAAGGAAGCGCCCUGACUGAGCUCUACAGGAGGCUGUGCUCAGGAAACCCAAACCCUCAGUGACCUCUGACCUUUGCUACCGCUGCAACAUCUGCACCAGAGAGCGAAAGAGAGAGGAAAGGAGGAAGGGACAAAGAAAGAGAGGAACAGACACUGACCAGUGGUGUUAAUGACAAAGCCAGAUCACAACAGCAGCGGCAGGAAACAAGCUCUCCUAACCAUCAAGAGAACAGCAGUCUCACUCUUCUGAGGGUCUGCAGGACUUCGAGACUUGUGCCAGGUUCACACUGCAACAACAGUAGCCCACUGAUAAUGGUGGAAACACUGAAUAGCCUUUAUAAAAGACUAAUGUACAUAUCUUCCUGAGACCCAAGCAUACACUUUUGUCCACUGUAGUGGACAUUAUAUUUUAGCAGAUUCCUCUGACACUGUACAUGUCAACGUUUUAAGUCUAGAUGUCCUGUAAAGCACAUUCAAAGUUUUCAGUGAUACCAAAUGUUUGGAGGCUUCACAAUGACUCCCUCUGCUUGGUUUUUAAAAAUGACUGACAUUGAUUGAAUGAUCAAAUUUAGCACUCUUAUAGAAAUCAUUUAAAUAUGACUAAGUUUGUUUGUCAUAAAUCAACAUCUCAGGAAAUUGUUAUGGGGUUUCAGAUCAGAAUAUGACUUUCUGUUACGAAACAGGACAUAAAUUUUUAUACGUCCACUGUAGUGGACUCCAGGACUUAAAGCAUGUAAAUCAGGCAUUUUGGGAGACACAACAAGUGAAUAGGGAAAAAAAUGAUAUAUCAAUAUUUCUAUGAAAUAUUAGAUAUUUUUAUAAAAACAGAUAUUAUUACUCCCAUUAUUACACUUCUUUUUCAUUACAUGUUGCCCCAAGAACACAUUAAUAUGCAAAUUAGAUACAAUGUAUAAAUGCAUUGUAUAGAAUGGGACUACCCAUUCAUGGCCAUUUUACACACAUAUCACAUAAAGUAAAAUAGUAUGUCAAAUCAUUCUAUUAUAUAUUUCAUAACAUAGUUGAGAAUCAUUAUACAAUGUUUGGUUAAAGAAAAUCCUGAAACCUAAAAACUGAUCGCUGAAUGAAAAAAAAAAUCCAUUGUUUUUGCCUAUACUUAUCCUUUUUGAAUAAUAGUCCUGAUGUCCACUACAGUAACAUUACACUACAUUAACACUACAUAACUUAUGAAUAAAAUAUAUAUAUUUUUUUAUUUGUU